CGCUGGCGGCGUGCUUCAUACAUGCAAGUCGAACGAUAAGGCGUCUUCGGACGUACAUAAGUGGCGGACGGGUGAGUAAAAUGUAGAGAAUCUGCCCUAGAGAGAGGGACAACAGAGGGAAACUUCUGCUGAUACCUCAUAUGCGCGUAGUUGGGAUACUAUUCGUGAAAACUCCGGUGCUCUAGGAUGAGUCUGCAUCUGAUUAGCUAGUUGGGGGUGUAAUGGACCACCAAGGCGACGAUCAGUAGCUGGUUUGAGAGGAUGAUCAGCCACAAUGGGACUGAGACACGGCCCAUACUCCUACGGGAGGCAGCAGUAGGGAAUUUUGCGCAAUGGGCGAAAGCCUGAACCGCAGCAACGCCGCGUGAUUGAAGAAGCCCUUCGGGGUGUAAAGAUCUGUCAGUGGGGACGAAUUUUGACGGUACCCACAGAGGAAGCAUCGGCUAACUCCGUGCCAGCCGCCGC
rnacentral:rRNA from 1 species